GGCGGUGCCAGCAGGGGCCGCGCGCGGGAGAGGCCCAGGGCCGCGGGGUUCCGCGCUGCCCGGGCUGACUGAGGGCAGCAGAGGGCAGAGGGGCGGCUCAGGAGCGGCUGAGGGGUCUGAGGAGUGGCUGAGGGGCGCCGUGCCUGUGCGGGCUCCCCCCGGAUGCCACGGCGCUCAGGGAGCCCCGGCACUCGGCCCGUACGCGCCGCUGCCGUCCUUUGUCCCCGAGCCGAGCGGUCUCUGAGCACUUGGGCCUCCGCCACAGCCGGUGCCAAGGGGAAGCGCCGUGACUGAGCACCGCAAGAGCUCGGAAAAGCUCGGAGAGAUUUAAGGAAUAUGGACCAUCAUUUCAAAAUGGCAAUGUGCAUCUGUAAGCCUAAGCAGUUCCUCAGUUAGACAACUGUUGUUCACUUUUGAGAUUAAGAUCAGCAUGGUUUUAGCCUAUGAGAAGCUCUCUGAAAAGGAUGGAAUGCAUCAGCUGACAAGAAGAAUUCCCACUUCAGUUUCACAGAGAAGGAUGGGAAAACUGAGGCAGGAGUAUGAAUGGCCCGUCCAAUACUGCAAAUAAAAGCUCAUCUAAAUGUUUCCACUUCAGUAUUAUGGUUGUAAAUUGGUUGUAUCUAAGGUACCAAAAUCACGGCAACAAGAAGCCAUGCUUCAGAAAACUAAGCCUUCAUUAUUACUAUUAUUAUUUCUACAGACUACAAAUCAGGUAAGUCAGCAGCAGUUUUUGCUUUAUACCAAGAAGUGAGAGAUUCCAGGUGAAACACGGGAUUAAGAUAUGAUGGUAGAAAAUAAUCCAAAAGCCAACCAGUGAUGAAUUCUGUUUAAUACUAGAAAAGCCAAAAAGACACUCUUCAGACCAAAAAGUAUUAAUUAAAAGGAAAAAAAAAAACAAAACAAGAACAAGACAUUUCAAAAUGGUUUAAGCUGACAUUAUGUUGUUUUAUUUCAGAUUUCACAAAAGAAAUACUUUAUAAAACUAAAAUCAGUUAACCCAGCCACUAUCAACAGAGGGUGGUAUAAGCAAAAGACACGAGGUCAGAACCUGCAGUGAAGAGACAUCUGUUCCUGUCAUGGGAGUGCUCCUCUACUACCAGAAUACUUCACUGGGGGAUGAAGAUGCAGAGAACUGGGGUUUUACAGCAGUUCCGAGAAGCACAGUAGCUCCUCCUAGUUGGUGCUUCGUUGCUACCCAGGUCUCCUCUGUAUCAUAAGUGUAACAAGGAUUUACUGAUUUCAGAAAGGACAGAUCCAGCAUAGCAAAGGCAAGAAAUUUUUCAAUUGAAUUUUAUGCAAAUUUCCUUUAAAAAGGUACUAUUGUGUUUUAAAAUCAGACCACCAAACGUAUUACUUAGCUAACUUAUCUGGGAUUUCCAGUCUCAUUACUGAAAGGAAAAUGAAUACACAAGGCUUAAGCAAGCCCUGUGCUAAAUAAAAUAUAUAGGGGCUUUGAGUAGAGACUUGUGUGUUUGCCUGAGCUUUGAUUAUGGGAGAGCUGGGGUGGGAGGAUUUAUUCAGUUAUUGUUAAGGAAUUCUAUUCCCUACCCUCCCCAUUCCAUAUUCUUCAUUGGGUGGCAAAACUGGAGGUGAGAGGGAAUAAGGUAAGUCAAUAAUCUCAGUGCUUUACACUAAGGGUCUGAUGGAGCGGGCCACAGAACCUUGCACGAAUAUAAACAAAGUACCUGCCUAGGCACAGCUUUGCCUGUUUUCAUCAUGCCCAAGUUAUGGCUGCUCAAUACAGCAGCAUUUGUCAAACCAUCCACCCUAUCCCCCCAAGCCCUUCUCUCCUCUGAAGAGUACAUGAUGGCAAGAAUCCUUCCUUCUACCUAUUUCUUUCUGAAAAGGGCAGGUCAGUGGGAGAAAGGGAAAAAAAAACCAAACAAGAAACCAAUUUAUUUCAAAGACGGGCAACUUUCCCUUGUAGAAUAAACCUUCCCCUCUAAAAAGGGGUGUUUCUUUACUCCUGUAACCCACGAUAAAUUACAACCAAGUAGGAAGUCUCUGGUUUGACACAAUAAAUACUUAGAAUAUAGCAAAUUAAAAAAUAUAGUUACAAAACCCUCAAUGGAAUUCUCUUUCUGACCUAAACUGCAGACAGAUUCUUCACAGACAAAAAGUAUCUCCAAAAUCAGCUGCAGCUCCUCUCCCUGUUCACUAGGCUUGGUCAACAAGUGCUAUCACAUACCCUUUGGAAUAAUGUUAAGACAAAAACAACAUAAAGCACAAGAAAUCUACUCCUAAAUUUGUUUUUUAUACUGCCAAGGGUGUAGGAAGCAACCAUCUGUGGGGAACCCUCACUGCAGUGCGCAGUGACAGAGUCACAGCAUUACAGUUAACAUGGAUAGGCAGACUAGGGGGAGAAACAGCCAUAGGAAAGGAAGGAGACAGAAC